GCUUUCCUGUGGCUCAGUUCGUAGAUUGCAUUGCACUACCAACGCACAGGUUGUGUGUUCAAAUCCCAGGGAAAGCA